GUCGGUCGGGAACAAUCGAUAAAAUUUCAACGGCAUCCAGACACGGUACCGUACAUGAUAUUUUCUGAUAUAAUAUAAUAUAAUUUAUUAAAAUUAACCGAGUCAAAAACGGUGCGACUUGUCCGGGUUUCACCCUAAGACCCAUCCACGGUUACCACCAGACACGCGGAACGAGACGGGACCGAGACACCCCUAUUAACAGCGAUCUUAAUUAAUGAAUGAAUCAAAUCCUGUUCUGCAUAUGUAAUUAGGAUAUAAUCCCUAAUUCUCCUUAAUAAGCACGCCAGAAUUUACAUGUGUCGACCUGCCAGGUGAGAAUUCAUAGACGUUUCCAUGAAGUCACAAGCAGCUAGCAACAGAAGCAACCAGGAUGCAUCUGUAAUGGAGGUUGUGGGUGUCUGGGUGUGGUGAGGUCAGAAAAAAACGUCUCCACCAUUAAAAACCUCUGCACAAACACUGAAAGUCAAAUACAUAGUUGGAUCCCAUUAAUUCAGAAAUCUGCAUAUCCCAAGAAUCCAAAAUCACACAAACCAAUAUUUAAAUAAAAAACAAAUUCCACACUGAUUCUUGAAUAUACUUGAUUUUUAAACAUCAUCAAUCCCUAAAAUUUUUUAUGUUUUUGAUCGGCACAAACUUUGAGAAAACUGUUGAUUUGAUAAAACAUUUCAAGCAGAAAUCAAAACAGUUGAGGAAAAUCUUCAUCUUACAAACAACAAAAAAAAAACUUGGAAAAAUUAAAGUAAAAAAAAAACAGCUAUUUAAUAUGGAUUUGAAGCAGGAAUUGAGGGAAACGAGAAGAGAUUGACGGAGUAUCUGAAGUUCAUGAAUUAGUUGGAAAGUUGGGAGUUGAAAGACUUGAUGUCGAAACGAACAACUAACUACCAGAAGAGAUUCCAUCAUAACACACCGAUUUUUGAGGUGAAAAAUGAUUACACGAUCUAAGAUUAAUCACUGUAAUUAUGAUAUUUCAUUGCCUAUUUCAAAGUUUAAAAAAAAAAAACAUUCAAUUUCAGACUCUCUCAUCAUCUCACAUGUGACCAAACAGUGACCAAAAUGACAAACCUGACCUUCCCAUCUCAAAUCAAUUACGGUUUAAUUUCUUC
rnacentral:lncRNA from 1 species